rnacentral:rRNA from 1 species
GACGAACGCUGGCGGCGUGCUUAACACAUGCAAGUCGAACGGAAAGGCCCUGCUUUUGUGGGGUGCUCGAGUGGCGAACGGGUGAGUAACACGUGAGUAACCUGCCCUUGACUUUGGGAUAACUUCGGGAAACUGGGGCUAAUACCGGAUAGGAGCUCCUGCCGCAUGGUGGGGGUUGGAAAGUUUCGGCGGUUGGGGAUGGACUCGCGGCUUAUCAGCUUGUUGGUGGGGUAGUGGCUUACCAAGGCUUUGACGGGUAGCCGGCCUGAGAGGGUGACCGGCCACAUUGGGACUGAGAUACGGCCCAGACUCCUACGGGAGGCAGCAGUGGGGAAUAUUGCACAAUGGGCGGAAGCCUGAUGCAGCAGCGCCGCGUGCGGGAUGACGGCCUUCGGGUUGUAAACCGCUUUCGCCUGUGACGAAGCGUGAGUGACGGUAAUGGGUAAAGAAGCACCGGCUAACUACGUG